UACGGGGGGGGGCAAGCGUUGUUCGGAAUUACUGGGCGUAAAGGGCUCGUAGGCGGCCAACUAAGUCAGACGUGAAAUCCCUCGGCUUAACCGGGGGAACUGCGUCUGAUACUAGAUGGCUUGAGGUUGGGAGAGGGAUGCGGAAUUCCAGGUGUAGCGGUGAAAUGCGUAGAUAUCUGGAGGAACACCGGUGGCGAAGGCGGCAUCCUGGACCAAUUCUGACGCUGAGGAGCGAAAGCCAGGGGAGCAAACAGGG
rnacentral:rRNA from 1 species